AACAUGGGGUGUAAAGGCAGAAAUCCCAAUGGAAAUUCCUUCUCCGGGACCAAGCAGAUUUCCAGGAUUUCUCCGUCAAGGGUCAUUGUAUGAGCAAACUCGAAUAACAGAGUUAGAGGAGCCAAAAAGUCAUGGUAAUAGUUGUACUGAAGAAGACACCCUUAGGGUUUCACCAACAUCUCUCCGUUCCCGCAGCUCAAGCACAUCGUCAGCCACCAGUUCUGCUAGUAGCAGUAGACGUCACUUUCUACCUUUCCUUCGACACAAACAAAACAAAGACGUAGCUUUUUCCUGAAGGCUAGACAGAUUGUGAGCUGUCAGGAAAUCUCUAUUUUCAUUUGUAUUGUAUGUAAAAUAACAGUGAGCGUAAUGUGACAUGACAUGACCCUCUCCUGGAUAUUGGUGGUAGAUACUAUUUCCAAAGUUCAUUGACUUCAUUGUGCCAUUCCUGAAAGUUUAUUUAUUACUUCUGUACUUGUUGUCAAAAAUCAAUUCAAUCUUAAACUUUGACAGGAACUUUCAAUGGACAUAAGUACCAUGUGAAUGUUAGUAUUUACACUCGUAUAAUGUUUUUAUUUUACUCAAUUUGAUCAUAAAUUUCAGUGAUUGAGGCAAAUUGUUUUUCAUUUUGCUCUAAGUAAAAUUAACAGUUUGUAUAUAUUUACGAUAUUAAAAUGCAGGAUAAAAAUUGUUAUACUUUGUCUACUGUUAUAAAAGGAAAUGAGGAGAACUAUUUAACAUAACCAAUACACUCUAUCCUCUUUAUAUUAAACACGUUUUUUUUUUUACUCAAAGCAUACUUCAAGCACUAUUCAAAGAAAUUUUAUUUUCAAGUUUAUAAUGUUUUCUUGCUGUCUCCCUCCCCCUUUUACUUUUCUCAGUCACGUGAUGUAUUAUAAAAUUCCUUAUUUGCUUACAUUCUUUGUUAUAAUUCACGAUUAUUUUGUUUUAAAAUUUAGCUCAGUGCUUUGAAGAUAUGUCAAUUACAAAUUUGCAUUUUGUUCAUAGAUGAAAGUAAUAUUUAUAGAUUAACUUGUUGCUGGUUAGGUACUGAAGGUGUAGAUUUGAUAUCAUGAGGCUAAGAAAUUCAUACAUGAUUAUAUGUAAUAGAAUUUGAACUCAAAAACCAUUAUAAACUCUCAUCUUUUUUUUUUUUGUCUAAAAAAAGUAACCGUUUUUAACUCCUGAAAAUCGAUUGAUUAUAGACAACUAAUAAUAAAUGUUAACUGGUUUACUAAAUACUUCGGAAUGUAUCCAAUAUUUUACAUUAACUUAUGGUCAUUAAAUACCUAAUGGAAACCUCACAAGUUUAAAGAAGUUUUGAAUUUUAUAAUAAGUUGUUUAUAAAUUAGAAAAUAAAAGUUUCAAAGUAGCCAUUUGAACUUUGUUACUUGUGUAUUAUCAGCUAAAGUUGAUUGUUUUAUUGGAGAUUAUGAAAUGUUAUGGUUGUUACUUACAGCUUCUAUGGCUACUUUUCUUUGUAACAAAGUAAGUCACAAAUUUUUAAUUUCAAUGCAGCUAAAGCAUCAAACUAAAAAUCUUUAAACCAUGUUUAUUUUUCUUUUCUAAUAAUUCCUGUUUAGGCUAAUACUAAUAAUAAUUCCUUCUUAUGUUCUGUGCUACCAUAGCUAAGGUUUAUUACUAACAAUUUUUGUGCCUAAUUUUACUUUUGUUGUACCUGAAGCUGCACUUUUUUUAUCGAAAUUUUUAAAAAUAACAUAUUUAGAAAGUUGAUGUCUUUAUAGUUCUAUUAUGAUGAAAUACUGUACCCAGACAGACAGAAUGAAUAAGUCAAAUUUUUGUUAAAGCUAAGUUUGUUUUACUUCUACUAAGAGUUACGAAAUUCAUUUCUUUCAAAUAUAAUUAUAUUGUAAACAAAACACACUGUUCCUGUGUGUAAUAGGUGUUAACAUCAAAUGCUGAAAAUGUUUAUAGGAAUUGAUUCUGUAUGUAAAUUUUUUAAAUGAGAUUGAAUGGUUAUUUUUUUUUAUAGUGAGUUUUUUAAUUUAGUUAAACUUGGAUAAAUAUGAUGAAUCUUUGAACCAGACCAGUUUGCAGAUAUGUGCUUGUUUGCUUGUAAUGUUGCACUGGUGACAAAUAAAAAUCAUCUGUGUUUAUCAGAA
rnacentral:lncRNA from 1 species